UAUGGCGCCCGUUAGCUAGCUGUCAAAAGUUUUUUUUUCUUGUUCUCCUCCUACUUCUCCCUAAUAGCUAGCCAUGGAGCCCGCUCUGCCCCACCGCCAGCUUCAUACAUGUCUACACUGAGCAUGCUGUUGAGUCAUGAGCAGCCUUCGUGAAAGUUGAGGUGUUCAGGGGUUGUUCUCGGCUCGGAAAUUCCAACUUCUGACUGUAGACUGCAGACUGUUUUGUGCACCAUGAUCUCCACGAUAAACCGCCUCCAAGACGCCCUAAGCGAUGCUGGCCAAAGCUACUCCCUUCAACUGCCACAGAUUGCCGUUGUGGGUAGCCAGAGCUGUGGGAAGAGCUCCGUCCUGGAGAACUUUGUGGGCAGAGACUUCCUUCCCCGUGGUUCAGGAAUUGUCACUCGCAGACCUUUAAUCUUGCAGCUGCACCAUGCUGAUGCCGAGUACGGUGAAUUUCUACACUGCCACGGAAAGAAGUUCACUGACUUUGAGGAGAUCCGCCAGGAAAUAGAGGCUGAAACCCGCCGAAUCACCGGAUCCAAUAAAGGCAUCUCUCCCAUCCCCAUUAACCUGCGGAUUUAUUCCCCCAAUGUGCUCAACCUGACUCUUGUGGACCUGCCGGGCAUCACCAAGGUGCCUGUGGGUGACCAGCCACGAGACAUUGAAUACCAAAUACGAGACAUGAUCAUGCAGUACAUCUGUCAGAAAAACUGCCUCAUCCUAGCCGUGACGCCCGCCAACACGGACCUGGCCAACUCGGAUGCCCUCAAACUGGCCAAAGAUGUUGACCCGCAAGGUCAGCGCACAAUAGGCGUGAUCACCAUGCUGGACCUGAUGGAUAAAGGAACAGAUGCACGGGAAAUACUAGAGAACAGGCUGCUUCCACUACGAAGAGGCUACAUCGGGCUGGUGAACCGCAGCCAGAAGGACAUCGACGGGAAAAAGGAUAUACAGGCAGCCCUGAUUGCGGAGAAGAACUUCUUCCUGUCCCACCCGUCUUACAGAGACAUGUCCAACAGAAUGGGCACACCAUAUUUACAGAGGAGACUCAACCAGCAACUGACAAAGCACAUCCGGGACAGUCUGCCUGCGCUGCACAGUCAGCUGCAGUGCCAGCUUGCCUCCAUCAGUAAAGAAGUUGAAACGUAUAAACUAUAUGAUAGUGACGAUGCCAUUGGCAGGACAAAGGCACUCAUCAAACUCGUGCAUCACCUGGCUGGAGAUGUUGAGAAGCUCAUCGAGGGCUCAGCAGACGAAGUCGACACAGUGAGCCUCUCAGGUGGUGCGAGGAUCAACCGAAUCUUCCAUGAGCGCUUCCCAUAUGAACUCCUUAAGAUGAAGUGUGAUGAAAGCAAGCUGCGGCAGGAGAUUGCCUAUGCCAUCAGGAACAUCCAUGGUGUCAGGACAGGUCUGUUCACCCCCGACAUGGCUUUUCAGGCCAUUGUGAAGAAGCAGAUCUCGCAGCUGAAAGUGCCAUGUUUUGAAUUUGUUGACAUGGUCAGUAAAGAACUGGUGUCCACCGUGUAUGAGUGCAUCAAUAAGCUCAGCUCCUUUCCCAAACUACGAGAUGAAAUUGAGCGAAUUGUCACAACUGAAAUUGGAGAACAAGAGAACACAUGCCGCAAUCAGAUCUCUCUGCUCAUCGACAUGCAGCUUGCUUACAUUAAUACCAACCAUGAAGAUUUCAUUGGCUUUGCUCAUGCUCAGAACACAUGCAAUCGAAGUGAUAACAAGACUGUUGCAGGCAGUGGACCACAACAGGGCGUGGCCCCUCCCUCGAGUCUAAUAGUUAUACACAAAGGCUGGCUCACCGUCACAAACAUUAGCAUCAUUGCCAAGGACUACUGGUUUGUUCUCACUGCCGAGAGCCUCUGCUGGUUCAAGGAUGAUGAGGAGACUGAGAAGAGGUACAUGCUUCUUCUGGACAAUCUGAAGAUCCGUGAUGUGGACAAGGGCUUCAUGUCCAGCAAAUUUGCCUUUGCCCUCUUCAAUACAGAGUCAAGGAAUGUCUACAAGGACCACAGAUUCCUGGAGCUGUCCUGUAACAGUCAGGAGGAGCUGGACAGCUGGAAGUCCUCAAUGCUCCGGGCCGGCAUCUACCCUGAGGAGGUUGCAGUCCAUACGCUUGAUAACGGGGCACCGCAGAAAUUCACCGACCCUCAACUGGAGCGCCAGGUGGAAACCAUUCGCAACCUGGUGGUCUCUUAUAUGAGCAUUAUGCAUAAGACCGUCAAGGACUUGAUGCCCAAGGCCAUCAUGCACCUGAUGAUCAACAGUGUGAAAGAGUUCAUUAGCUCGGAGCUCCUGGCCCAGCUCUACGCUGUGGGAGACUGCUCGGCGCUGAUGGAUGAGUCACCCGAGCAGCGUCAGCGUCGGCAGAAAGUGCUCGGUAUACACGCCGCCCUGAAGGCGGCGCUCACCAUAAUCGGGGAGAUCUCCACCUCGAACCACUCCUCCCCAUUGAACCACUCUCAAUCUCGGACGCAAUCCUGCAGCACAACGCUCCCUAAAAAGGUGACCGCCAGCAAGUCUCGAACCCGUGGCCGCGCCCCACCCAUUCCCAUUCAUGCCGACCCGUCUGGCCACGGCCCAUCUUGCGUGCCCAGGAGGCCUGCUCCAGCCAUCCCAGCAAGCACCAAAUAGGAAGACAUGGUGCUUACCCAUCUGCCGCGCCUCACCCCACAGCAGUCGUGAGCUUGUUUUGUUCAUACUAGCGUUGGCCGCAGUCGCAGGAAUGUGCUCGGCUGUCUGCUGACUUUCCUCAAGUGCCUGUGUAAAUAUAAAUAACAGCUAUUCUACUAAACACUAUUUUUACAUCUUUUUUAAAAAUAAAGAGGGUGUUUUAUUUUUUAAUAACGUCCGUCUUUAAUUUGGAAAAAAAAUAAACUUUAGCCGUGGUGAAUUUCAAAAUAUCAUCAAAAUUAAUUGUUUGCUGUUUUACACUGAUGGGCAACAACAUUAGGUACACACAUGCUGAGAGCAGCUGUUUACUUUUACGUGAGAAAAGCACUAUUCAUUUAAAACAAAAGAUGUCCAUUGGCAUACAUGGUGGUUGUCGACAACUAAGCAAGUAGUAGGUGUGGAAUGCAGUAAUAGGUACAGAAGUUAACUAGUAAAUAAAGUAACCCAUAAUAAUAAUAACCAACCAACCAGUAACAGCACUCUGUCUUGACAGUUGUGGACCAGUGCAAACUACAACCACAGUAAUAUUCACAAAUAUUGUUUCAGCUCAUAUUUAAUGCCGCCUAAUUGUGAAAGUGUACCAGAUGUUGUGGUUGGUGAGUGCAUUUAAAAUGAAUAGCUGCUGAGAAUACAGUACGUGAGUACGUGAGAAUACACACGUACGCAGACGGACAGAAUAUUAAAAAGUAACGUAAUUGUGUUUUAUAUUAUAUGAUAUAUUAUAUUAUAUAUUGCCAUAUUAAUAUAUGGCAGGAUCGUGCUGCCCUCUACAGGUCAAAACGCUUAACGUCAGAAAUACUGGUUCCACAAGUUACAGGACACUCAUAGCGUCGUUGGAAAAAGGUUUCCCUCACCUUAAAUAGUGAAAACAAAUUAACUGGCCAAAUUGUAGUAAUCCCCAUGUUUUAUUACACAAUGUACAUGUUUUUUCAAACUCAGAAAUCCAUGAAUUGUAUUACAAAUCUUCAGGUGACGUUGAUGCCAUUGCAGUCAACAUUACAAACACAAAUUAAUUUAUUUAAAAACACAUGCACAGCAUUAGUGCAUCAUUUUACUGCCAUUCUUAAAACUAGUGAGGUAAAAUAUUGAAAUAGCAGUUACAACCAACAAAAAAAACAAAGGUAUAUAACAGGUUGUCCAAAAGUGGACCAUUAUUUAAAAAGGAGUUCUGCUGCUAAAACACUCGACUGUGGAUUGACAGCAAAUGUGUCCCUGCACAAUCUCAUGAGACACAAUACAUAAAUUCUACCUUCAAGUUAAAACAAAAUGUUUUAUUAUUGUGAUUAGCUGAUUAUAAUAUUUGAAAUACCUUUUAGUGAUACAGUUAAUUUCUACAGCAGUGAGCGUAAAACACCAUUAUCUUUAAGUGAUGUUGGUGCUCAUUAGAUAGUGCAGGUCUACCUAAUGAAGUGUCCAGUGCAUAUACGUUAUGUGCUUCACUCAGGUCUUCAGUGAAGGAAGCAGCUGAGGUCCUCGUGGAUCUCCGCCUCAUCCCAGGGUCCGUGGAUGUUGUCCUUGUGCCUCUGUAGCCACACUAGCAGCGCUGGACAAAGCAGCGUAACGCUCAGAACUGCCAGGGCCAAAAGCACGGCUCCGCCGGGCGAUUGCGACGCCAUGCCGCUCACGGCCACCAUACACACCCCGACACAUGCGCUAGUGAAGUGGCAUGGGGCAUUGUCCCUCAUCCUCAUCAGCAGGCAGGGCCACAGAGCAAAGAUUAGCAGGGCACAGCUGAGCAUGGCAAAGGUGUGGAGGGCUCCCGGGAGCCUGGAGGCCAGGCAGACCGACGCAAAGAGCGCCGCGUUCAAAGACAAGCUCCCAGGUGGAGAUGGAUGGGCGUAAGGGAACGACACUAGGUGGGCCAGCAGCAUGACUGCUGACAUGGCAUACACCGUGUCUGUACUCACUGACUCGGUUAGCGUCUUUAGCACGGGUGAGAAGCCAAAAGUGAAGGAGAGGAAGAUAGUGGCGCUCUGUAAGUCCGCGAGACGACUCCGGGUCUUGCACUCCACCUGGGAUGUGAGGACUUGGUACAGUCCGUAGCCCAGCAGGGCACUUGCCAAGCUGGUUCCAAGUAGUCUCUCUGGAGAAAGAAGGCCCUGAAAGGUACGUAUUAUGCAUGAGAGAAAAAAUUGUCAACUUUGUCAUUGUGCAGUUACACAGCCAAUGAAAUAGAGUUAGCAGCAUCUUACCAUAAAUGCAAAUUUAUUUAUAAUUUACCAGACACAUAACAGUAAAGGGCAGACCAUCUGCACAAGAUGAGGAGAUAAUGUUUAUUUGAUUUCUAUCAAAUUGUUCAUCUUAAAUCAGUGCUUUUCAGGGGGGACUUUCAGUAUUAGACCUGCCCACAUGUUUGAUUUCUUGGACUUGGCAUACAAUUUGACUCUUGAAUACGCUUGUAUGCUUCACGGCUCUCCCUUUUGUUGGGGACUUGUCCAUAUCCAUGGGUGUGGAUGUUGAGUGUGUAUAGUUUUUUCGACAUGUGCCCUGCGACUGACUGUCGAGCCAGGGUGUACCUCUUUCUAAAAGUUCAGCUUGGAUAGGCUCCAGCUCACCCACGACAUGCAAUAUAGAUAAUAAAUGGAUAUGCAGAUUUCAUAGUAGAUACAAAUAAUGACUAUUGACUGCAAAAUACGACUAGUGUUUGCAAAAAAUUGAGAGCAACGAGUAGGAAAAGGCACCAUGAAAGCAUACCAGGGUUUUCUUAGACAAUAAGCUUCACCUGCUCCAUGUAGAGCCAGAGGGUGAUGAAAAUGGCCACACAAGACAGCUGCUGCCCCACCAGGACGGCCUCUCCCACCACAGCCCAGUAACGGUACUGACGGAUGCCCUCGUUCCUCCGUAACUCCUCCAGGAACCUCCGAUCCACGUAAUUGUCCGGAUAGGGCUGGCGCUCCCACAGCACCUUCCUCCAAGGCGCGGCUGGACUCUGGGAACUGUCGGGCCCCAUCACCCUGAGCCCCGACACGAAAUUAAAACAAGUUACAGUAGUAGUAUGGCCUUUGACCGGCUUCGUGGUCAAUCUAUUUGGGAAGGAAACAUGGUUCCUGUUGAGUCCCGUCCCUGAAAUUUUGCACACUCGUGCAGAAUAAUUGUCUGAUGAUAUGGCGAAAAAUUGGUGGACCUAGAUUGAUGCUUGGCCUCAGGUUCCAACCCUCGCCUCCAGUUUGCCCACCGGCCACCGUUUCCAGUUUGCCCGCAGGCCGGCAGCUGACAACAGAUUGCCUGACGGCCGCUGCAGUCUGCGCCCUGCCGCCGGCUUCGUAUUGCUCUUUGGUCGCCAGCGGCCGCAGCCUUCAUAUUGCUCUUAUUAUUAUAUAUAUUGCUCUAUUGUCGUCAGCGUCAUCGUCAGUCCGCUGUCCCGCAAUCUUCAGCAGAGUAAGAUAAAGCUUACAUUAGCCAUGACUUUACCGUUGAGAAAACACAGUAUAUGAUUGCCCAGCAUAACGAUUACAGUCACGGUGUCAUGAAAAAAUCCCAUCAAACAUCAACACAAUAGAUAGAUUUAGAACAGACUUGGCCAGUCGUGUGCAAGAAUAACCUAUUUACGUGGCUUAAAACAAGUAAUUUAACAGAUAUUUCUUUCAUAGACAGUACCGCAAAGCACGCUGGGAUGUGCGCCUAUCGAACUGCUGAUUAUGAUGCAGGCGAGGGAGGAUGUCAAUUAAGGGCCUCAAUUCUUGAAUUUCUUCUCCUUAAAAAUUACUUUUAUGCAACUCUUGGCUAUGUUAUCUGUAUCAUGUGUCAUUUGUGUGCUUUCAACAUAUACUUGUUAGUCCAAAAUACAGUACACUUCAAAAAGACGUUUGUGUGUUUUCCAAGUGGCCACAGGAGGGCGAUAGAGGCUAAUAUCAUCUAUGUAUGUCCGUCACAGGCCACCGUACUGAUCCGCCAGUAAGUGGUAACAUUACGUGAAAUCCAACAAAUUAAAUAAUACCUCCUUUUUUUUACAGCACCCUACGAACGGUGCCCAAGGUGCUUCAGGAGUAUAAAGUAUUCUUUCUCUUGUUAUAGUGUGUAAAAUCAUUGUGAAACACGACGUCACAUCCGCGCUGUAACUUCCUGUUUGCACUUCCUGGUUUCAUCACAAGGCCAGCGGGGGGAGCGCGGCAUCGCGGCGAAGGGCCAGCCUGUCGCGUGUGGUUCCGUUCUUCAGGGAGACGUCUCCGGAGGGGGGGCAA